CCCGAGUGCUUGCACUCAAUUGGAAAGAGGAGUGGCGGACGGGUGAGUAACACGUGGGUAACCUACCCAUCAGAGGGGGAUAACACUUGGAAACAGGUGCUAAUACCGCAUAACAGUUUAUGCCGCAUGGCAUAAGAGUGAAAGGCGCUUUCGGGUGUCGCUGAUGGAUGGACCCGCGGUGCAUUAGCUAGUUGGUGAGGUAACGGCUCACCAAGGCCACGAUGCAUAGCCGACCUGAGAGGGUGAUCGGCCACACUGGGACUGAGACACGGCCCAGACUCCUACGGGAGGCAGCAGUAGGGAAUCUUCGGCAAUGGACGAAAGUCUGACCGAGCAACGCCGCGUGAGUGAAGAAGGUUUUCGGAUCGUAAAACUCUGUUGUUAGAGAAGAACAAGGACGUUAGUAACUGAACGUCCCCUGACGGUAUCUAACCAGAAAGCCACGGCUAACUACGUGCCAGCAGCCGCGGUAAUACGUAGGUGGCAAGCGUUGUCCGGAUUUAUUGGGCGUAAAGCGAGCGCAGGCGGUUUCUUAAGUCUGAUGUGAAAGCCCCCGGCUCAACCGGGGAGGGUCAUUGGAAACUGGGAGACUUGAGUGCAGAAGAGGAGAGUGGAAUUCCAUGUGUAGCGGUGAAAUGCGUAGAUAUAUGGAGGAACACCAGUGGCGAAGGCGG
rnacentral:rRNA from 1 species